CUACGUGCCAGCAGCCGCGGUAAUACGUAGGGUGCGAGCGUUAAUCGGAAUUACUGGGCGUAAAGCGGGCGCAGACGGUUACUUAAGCAGGAUGUGAAAUCCCCGGGCUCAACCUGGGAACUGCGUUCUGAACUGGGACUAGAGUGUGUCAGAGGGAGGUAGAAUUCCACGUGUAGCAGUGAAAUGCGUAGAGAUGUGGAGGAAUACCGAUGGCGAAGGCAGCCUCCUGGGAUAACACUGACGUUCAUGCCCGAAAGCGUGGGUAGCAAACAGGAUUAGAUACCCUGGUAGUCCACGCCCUAAACGAUGUCGAUUAGCUGUUGGGCAGCUUGACUGCUUAGUAGCGAAGCUAACGCGUGAAAUCGACCGCCUGGGGAGUACGGUCGCAAGAUUAAAACUCAAAGGAAUUGACGGGGACCCGCACAAGCGGUGGAUGAUGUGGAUUAAUUCGAUGCAACGCGAAGAACCUUACCUGGUCUUGACAU
rnacentral:rRNA from 1 species